CCGAAAACACAGACACAAACAAGGAGGGGGUGGGGGAAGAAGGAAGGAGCUUAAGACACUCCGGGAGAGUAGCGCGCACCCUCCCAUUUUGGGCUCGCGCUGCUGCCGUUAAGGCGGGAACCGGCGUUAUCUCUAUUCCAGCGCCAGCCACACCAACCACCGUGCGCGUGGAUCUGCAGGCUCGCGCUGGCGGCCUGAGAGAGCUCGCGCCGAGCCCGGACACUGCGCCUGCGCCGCAGCGGAGACUCGUCUCUACCAGGUCCGCUCCCCUCCGACACCUCGGCAACGCUGACUUCUCACCCCUUUGAGCCGCUUGACCAGGGCACUCUUCUGCCCGCUCUUGGCUAGGCCUCGCUGCUCCAGUGCGGCCUUCAGGUCGGUCACCCGCAGAGCCUGAAGAGGCUUCCCGUCCAGAGUCACCUCCUCCAGCUCCGCCAUCUUGCGUGAGGUACUCGGGUCCGUCCCGACGGCUUCGGGCAUCUUCGGAUGCCACUGGAAUCGUCUUCCACAUCAGUGCCACCCUGCUUCCCUUCUGUGUUACCCUCAGUGCCUGAUGACAUUGCCAACUCUUCCCCCCCUCCAAUGUCUUACAUCACUUCCCAGGAGAUGAAGUGUGUUCUUCACUGGUUUGCCAGUUGGUCAGGUCCCCAGCGGGAACGUUUUCUCCAAGACCUGGUCGCUAAGGCAGUGCCAGGAAAGGUGCAGCUACUGCUGGAUGGUCUGGAGCAGCUCAGUGUAUCUGCGGCAAGUCGACCACCGUGUAUCUUUGAGUGUCAGCUACGUCUUUGGGAUCAGUGGUUUCGAGGUUGGGCUGAGCAGGAGCGCAAUGAAUUUGUCAGGCAGCUGGAGGUCGGUGAGCCAGAUUUCGUGGCAAAAUUUUACCAAGCAGUGGCUGCCACUGCUGGUAAGGACUGACAGGUAUUCAGAUCAAGCGAAUGACGUGAUCACGCCAAGGCCAUGACUGUAGUGAUGAUUCAGUGCAA
rnacentral:lncRNA from 1 species